UGUCAACGUAAUACAAAACUUUUAAAAAAACACAUUUGAGAAGAAUGUGAGUCGUAACUGCUUUGACGCCGGCGCUAGGGAGCCCAAAGAGCCCACCCAGGACGCCGCGGCGCGCAAUCCAGUGCUCAGGGGCCGCAGGCGCCGCCAUGCCGGAAGGGGGCGGCCUUGGGCCCGGCACGGCUCAGCAACCUGGAGCUAAAGCCGCGCUCGACACGAGGGCCUCGGCCGGAGGUGACAGAGUCCACGUCUGCACCACCUUCUGGGAGCCGGGCGCGGAAACAAGUCGCCGAGCGGACCGAAAGGGUGGCAAUGGAAACCAAACGCCUUUCAUCCCCUAGAGACAAAGAGGCCGUCGGACCGCGCCUGUGCGGAGCCGCCUCCCAACCCUCGGGGCCGUGCUCUGGCCAGGGCCACAGAUGGCAGCGUCACCUUCGCGCAGCACGCUCCAUGGACGAACAGCCGCCGUCCGCGCUCGGCCCGGCGGAAGUCAGCGCCGAGACGUGCGUGCGCCGACGCGACGUGCACCCACGCUCCUGCGGCUGCGCGCGCGCGACUUCUGCUGGGGUCCGGGCGUGCGUGGGCGCCCAAGUCGCUGUGCUGGGAGUAAAACAGAGAGUCACUGUAUGAAGAAGACGGCGUUGAAAGGCAGCUUUGCCAUUCUGCUUGUUAGAGCCAGCAGAUUGUAAACAACCCGAAAGUCGGUGUUUGGGGCCGAUUAAAUGCUACUGGUCCACCCUUCAGUUGUAUCCUUAGUUGCCUUCUAGGAAUUCGUAUAAUUCCUCUGAGUGCUCUGCUCUCAGAAAUAUGGGCAUUUUUCUUACAUUCUAAAUAAGUAAAGUGUAGAAGAGUUGAACAACGUG
rnacentral:lncRNA from 1 species